rnacentral:rRNA from 1 species
UAGGCGGACGGGGGAGUAAUGUCUGGGAAACGUGCCUGAUGGAGGGGGAUAACUACUGGAAACGGUAGCUAAUACCGCAUAACGUCGCAAGACCAAAGAGGGGGACCUUAGGGCCUCUUGCCAUCGGAUGUGCCCAGAUGGGAUUAGCUAGUAGGUGGGGUAACGGCUCACCUAGGCGACGAUCCCUAGCUGGUCUGAGAGGAGGACCAGCCACACUGGAACUGAGACACGGUCCAG